AGAGUACGUGAAACCGCUUAGAGGUAAACGGGUGGACCCGCAAAGUCGGCCCGGGGAAUUCAACUUGCCGUUCGGGCGGCGGGCGUCGGUGUCAGGGAUCCGUAAAGACCCGCCCGGCGUACCGGCCGUCGUCGGCGAGUGCACUUUCCUCGGGUAGAGCGCCACGACCGGUUUCGGCGGCGGUCAUAAGCCGGUCGGGAAGGUGACUUCUUCUCUCGGGAGGAAGUGUUAUAGCCCGGCCAGGUGGACUCGCUCCGAGACCGAGGAUUUGCCGCGUCUCACUUGCCCUCGGCCCUCCAGGUGCGUACGACUGGGGAAGCACUGCUUGCAGUUCUCUCCGACCGCGUGCCUGCGAUCGGUCGGGAAGCAGGGGACGCCUCGGGUCAGUGGCGAAUCGGUCGGUCCUCCCCCCGAC
rnacentral:rRNA from 1 species